UCGGGCGUAGUGUACGGAACACGGCUGGCUGUGAUGGAUUCGAGCGACCGUUGUGGCUGGCAGUCCGGGGUUCGACUCCCCGCGUUCGGA